CCAACGUGGAUACCCCAGGAGGUCACUGCCUGGGCUCUGUCCUGGUGGCGUAGGGGAGCAUAGGCAUUGCACAGUGAUGUACAGCCCCUUUCCACGCCGUUGGAGAUGAAGCUGGGCUUUGUGUCCGCGCCUGCAUAUUCCUACGACUUCUCAGAGGACUGCCUGAGGAGGCAAACCAUGCAGGAAACAGUC